rnacentral:rRNA from 1 species
GACGUAGGGGGCGAGCGUUGUCCGGAUUCAUUGGGCGUAAAGCGCGCGUAGGCGGCUCGGUAAGUCGGUUGUGAAAUCCCGGGGCUCAACCCCGGGACUGCGUCCGAUACUGUCGAGCUAGAGGUAGGUAGGGGAGAUCGGAAUUCCUGGUGUAGCGGUGAAAUGCGCAGAUAUCAGGAGGAACACCGGUGGCGAAGGCGGAUCUCUGGGCCUGACCUGACGCUGAGGCGCGAAAGCUAGGGGAGCGAACAGGAUUAGAAACCCCAGUAGUCC